rnacentral:rRNA from 1 species
GGUGAACGCUGGCGGCGGGCCUAAUACAUGCAAGUCGAGCGACCGGACGAUGAGCUUUCGCCUCUAAGGUUGGCGGCUGACGGGUGGGUGAGAAGUGGAUAACCUACCUAUUUUUCGGGGAGGACAACGGGAAGCCGCAUCUACUACUGGCUAAUAUAUUCAACGGCAUAAUUCAAUAGUUAUAGACAGUUUGGCUGUCACUUAUAGAUGGAUCCGCGUCGCAUUAGCUGGUGGGUAAGGUAACGGCUCACCAAGGCGACGAUGCGUAGCCGACCUGAGAGGGUGAUCAGCCACACUGGAACUGAGACACGGUCCAGACUCCUACGGGAGGCAGCAGUAGGGAAUAUUCCGCAAUGGGCGAAAGCCUGAUCGAGCAAUGCCGCGUGAGUGAUGAAGGUCUUCGGAUCGUAAAACUCUGUUGUUAGGGAAGAAAAAAUGCAUAUGUAUCUACCCCCGUCUUGACGGUACCUAAACAGAAAGCCCCGGCUAACUACGUG